rnacentral:rRNA from 1 species
GAUGAACGCUAGCGGCAGGCCUAAUACAUGCAAGUCGAGGGGCAGCGCGGUAGCAAUACUGGCGGCGACCGGCGCACGGGUGCGUAACACGUAUGCAACCUACCUUCAACUGGAGGAUAGCCCGGGGAAACUCGGAUUAAUACUCCAUAACACAGGGAUCCCGCAUGGGAAUAUUGUUAAAGUUACGGCGGUUGAAGAUGGGCAUGCGUUCGAUUAGCUAGUUGGUGUAGGUAACGGCUCACCAAGGCUACGAUCGAUAGGGGGUCUGAGAGGAUGAUCCCCCACACUGGUACUGAGAUACGGACCAGACUCCUACGGGAGGCAGCAGUAGGGAAUAUUGGUCAAUGGGGCGCAAGCCUGAACCAGCCAUGCCGCGUGCAGGAAGAAGGCCCUCUGGGUUGUAAACUGCUUUUGAUAGGGAACAAAUGCCACUUGCGAGUGGAGCUGAGUGUACCCAUAGAAUAAGCACCGGCUAACUCCGUGCCAGCAGCC